CUGCUCACCACCGCAGACAAGUCCAGUCCUCUCCCUCCCCUCAACCUAGCGCCGCCACUCACGCCCACCACGCCGCCGCACCGCCGCUGGUGAAUGGAUCCGUCCAUCCCGUACACCGGCCUUGGCCUCUUCCUCCCUCCCCUCAACCUAGCUCCACCACUCGCGCCCACCACACCGCCGCACCACCGCUGGUGAACGGAUUCGUCCAUCCCGUACACCAGCCAUGUCCUCCUGCUCACUCUCCUCGACCUAGCUCCGCCACUCGCACCCACCACGCUGGCACACCCCGCUGCCGGAGAACAAUCCAGCCACUGGAGCCGAAGAUCCACGGGCCGGACAUCAACGAGCCGGCAUCCCAAACCUCCACGGAUACGCCUCCGCAUAGGGAGUCCUGCUUAGCUCCGCAGAUCCGUGCAGGCCGCGACGAAGGCUGCCUCACCGACCACCACCAAGGCUACCUCGCCGAUAGACGCAGGCCCGCAGCCCCGACCUCUUCUACUGGCAUCAGGAAUCUGGUAUUGUACCAUGUGGUUUACUGGUAGUGCAUCUCGUUCUAGCAUUUAUAUAUGUGUUCUUUCUAGCGUGUUUGUAGUUUUGUCUUCUUUCUACCAUUAACCAAAAUACUGAUGCGUUAGUUGUUCCUUCAACUCAUGUACAGAAAUUGGAUUUAGUUUCUGCUCUUUCUACGUUUCUCUGUAAUAAGUAAUAGAAGAAAUGGAAAAAACCAAGUAUGAGGUGGCAAGGGACGAGACUAUAAAGCAUGUUCAACAAGUUUUUUAAUUCUUUGGGCAUUCAUGUCUUAGCACAGACUAUUAGAGAUGUUAUUUCACCAAAAAAAGAAAGAGGGAAGAGGAAAGGCUAUAGAUUCUGACAAUGAUUACGAUCCAUGCUCUGACAUUGAAAACCAAUCUGACACUGAUGAUGACUAUGAUGAUGACCACAAUAAUGAGGUCAAUACUGAGGCGACACAGAUGGUUCUAGGAACUCGCCCUCACCAAAAGAAGCAAAACGCAGGAACAAUGCCAGCUGCCAACCACCAGCCACCACGCACACCAGUCAGAUUGACAAGGCAAAGUGCAGCCAUGCCUUCGCCUGGAGGACACCCGCCACCUAAGCCAAGACAUCUCUUGCCUCCUAAGACCACUUCGAAAGCCACCCCUAAAAGAAAUGUCAUUUCCAGUAGUACCCAACAACAGGUCCAGGCCAGUACAACCACUACUGAGACCACUGAAACUACAAACCCAAUGUCUUUUCCUCCAAAAAUGACCAGGUCCACUCAAGCAAUGUCUUCACGAGUUCCAAACACAAUGCCUAGACCUACUAGAUACACAAGGACUAAAGGAACCAUGUCUACGCCUGGUGGACACACCAUGCAUAGUCCUCCUAGAUUCACUAGGGCUAGUGCAGCCAUGUCUUCUCCUGGUGCAAACCCUCACCAUAGUCCUCCUAGAUUCACUAGGGCUAGUGCAGCCAUGUCUUCUCCUAGUGCAAACCCUCACCAUAGUACUCCUGCAGCCACUGCUAUCGUAUCUUAGCAACCUACUCCCACAACUAGUGUUAACAAAAUAGUUCCUACAGACAACUCACCAGGUGGGCACAGCUCUAGGCAAAGCAAUGCCAUCAAUGAGUCAGCUGAGCAAUUUGAUGCUGCUACUUGAGAGGGUAAUCCGAAUGAAGGAGAACCAGUUGGUGACUUAGUUCCAGCGCCCAAAAAGAAUGUCCACAAGAAAACCAUGGGUCAUGGCUCAGAGAAGAUGCUUAAUAGGGGAAACCGGUUGGCUAUCCACGUGGCUGAAGGGAAGAAAAGACCGGAGGUCCCACUUCAAGCAGCGAAGCUGGCAUCAGAAACUGGUGUUGCCCUUAGAGACAACCUACCUAUCUACAAAUCUUGGAAGCUUUAUGACAAUGCCGUGGGGCAGGCAGAAGUAGGAAAAGUGCUUGACAAAGUCGCUUCAAGGUUGGAUGUCAAUGUUAAGAAUGAGGGACCAAGCAAAGAUGCAUGCAUAAAUAUCAUAAAGAGGGGAGUGAGGCAGACGAGGUAUAACCUGAAAAGGAAGUACUUCGAUGAGUCACUGACAAAAGAACAGUUGUUGGCCAUGCAACCUCCACCUAAAAUGAAGAAAGAGGAUUGGACUGGGCUGGUAGAGUAUUGGUGUGACCCAAAGAAUCAGGAAAAAUCUGCUAAGAACAAAGCAAACCGAGGCAACGUGCAGCUUCACCAAAGGACUGGAGCUAGGUCCUAUAUAGACCAUCGUUACAGCCUGGUAUGUAUACUAUGUAUUUUCUAAAACUAGCUUCAAAGAUGGGAAAUAUGUAGCAUAAUAAUUACCAUGUGCUACUGAAAUGUAAAGUUACCAUGUGCUCCAAUUACUUCUGAGAUGAGCUAAUAAGUCAUGAAAUGAAUAAGUGCAAUAUCUCUUUGGUUUGAAGGACUUACAUUUUGGAGUGUUAUUGACUAUUCAUUUCAUCAGAUGUGAGGUUUAUGCCAAUAGGAAAGGUGUGAUAUGUCAUGAAAUGAAUAAGUGCAAUAGGAAAGCUUUGAUAUGCCAAUAGGAAACCCGUGUUGGUCUGUGGGGACAAUAUAUGAUUCUAGAGAGCUGCCAGGAGUAAGUACCGUUGGUACAGGAAUUUGACGGGGUGUUACAAGUGGUAUCACAGCCGACCCUCGAGGUUUCAUAGGUGUGUGUGGGCUCAGGAGUUCGGGUAUAUGGAGCAUGGCACAUGUGGGCCAGGAGUGGUCACAUGGCAUGGCAUAUGAUGACACUAGACACAAAGACGUGGCUAAGAUGGGAGGUUCCUAGAUUGGGGUUGAUCGACGAGGAUGUCGGUCUUUUAAAGGGGUGGAUUGUGAUAUUCUGGCCCCUAGGAUGGUGAU